UACGUAGGGUCCGAGCGUUGUUCGGAAUUACUGGGCGUAAAGAGCUCGUAGGCGGUCUGUCACGUCGGCUGUGAAAUCCCGGGGCUCAACCCCGGGCCUGCAGUCGAUACGGGCAGACUAGAGUUCGGUAGGGGAGACUGGAAUUCCUGGUGUAGCGGUGAAAUGCGCAGAUAUCAGGAGGAACACCGGUGGCGAAGGCGGGUCUCUGGGCAGCUCCUGACGCUGAGGCGCGAAAGCGUGGGGAGCAAACGGG
rnacentral:rRNA from 1 species